UACGAAGGGUGCAAACGUUGCUCGGAAUCAUUGGGCGUAAAGCGCACGUAGGCGGCUUUGCAAGUCGGAUGUGAAAUCCCACGGCUCAACCGUGGACGUGCAUCCGAAACUGCUCGGCUCGAGUAUGGAAGAGGGUCGCGGAAUUCCCGGUGUAGAGGUGAAAUUCGUAGAUAUCGGGAGGAACACCAGUGGCGAAGGCGGCGACCUGGGCCAAUACUGACGCUGAGGUGCGAAAGCGUGGGGAGCAAACAGGG
rnacentral:rRNA from 1 species